rnacentral:rRNA from 1 species
CCUACGGGAGGCAGCAGUGAGGAAUAUUGGUCAAUGGGCGGGAGCCUGAACCAGCCAAGCCGCGUGAGGGAAGAAGGUACAGCGUAUCGUAAACCUCUUUUGUCAGGGAACAAAGGCGGGGACUAGUCCCCGGAUGAGGGUACCUGAAGAAAAAGCAUCGGCUAACUCCGUGCCAGCAGCCGCGGUAAUACGGAGGAUGCGAGCGUUAUCCGGAUUUAUUGGGUUUAAAGGGUGCGGAGGGGGCCUGUUAAGUCAGCGGUAAAAGCUCGGGGCUCAACCCCGGCGAGCCGUUGAAACUGGGGGGCUGGAGGUGGAGAGGAGGAAGCGGAAUGCGGGGUGUAGGCGUGAAAUGCUUAGAUAUCG